GCCAGGUGUGGUGACACACACCUAUAGCCCCAGCUGCUCGGGAGGCUGAGGUGGGAAGAUGGCUUGAGCCAGGAGGACGAGGCCAGCCUGGACAGCAGGGUGAGAUUCCAUCUCAA
rnacentral:sRNA from 1 species